CCCAUCGUGAGGUGGGAUCUGAAGGAAGCUUAAGGCAAAAUUCCGACCCAAGGCACACGAACAUCAUCAGGCAUAAGGUAUGGGAUGAGUUUGCAAUACAAAACGAAGUCCAAUCAACUACACGGACAUACCAGUGUAAAUGAUGUGGGUACAUGGAAUGAAAGUUAAUCGU
rfam:Natranaerobius thermophilus JW/NM-WN-LF, complete genome.